UACAGAGGUCCCAAGCGUUGUUCGGAUUCACUGGGCGUAAAGGGUGCGUAGGUGGUUGGGAAAGUUUGAGGUGAAAGCUCGGAGCUUAACUCCGAAAUGGCAUUGAAUACUUCUUAACUUGAGGGUCGGAGGGGAGACUGGAAUUCUCGGUGUAGCAGUGAAAUGCGUAGAUAUCGAGAGGAACACCAGUGGCGAAGGCGAGUCUCUGGACGACUCCUGACACUGAGGCACGAAAGCUAGGGGAGCAAACAGG
rnacentral:rRNA from 1 species